CUCCUGAUACAGCGGUAUCUCUAACAGGCAAAAGCACUCAGCGCAGUGAUUGCAAAGAGCUGGCUCGCUCAAGCACUCACAAGGAACUCGCUGCGGCUAAUCAAAUGUCAAAACAACCUCGCAGGUGAUUUAGAGGAGCUUGGUGACAGGAAGACACUGACCACCAAGCCACUGAGAACAGACCACGUGAAGUCGGCGGAAAGCAGGGAAGCCAGUUUCCGUCAAGGGAGGUUCCAGGAGGCAGAGGUUCCUGGUGGCAGAGGUGGCAGAGGCUGUCUCUUGGAUCAACUGCUCCCUGGUUAGUGGCACUUGGCUUUUAAAAUUUUUCCUCUUUUCCAUUGAAGGCCAGAAGGUCAAAGGUCAAAGGGUAGUGGGGAGUUUUUUGGGUUUUUUGUUUUGUUUUGUUUUUUUAUGACAAAAUGUUGCAAGGCCUUUGGAUCAUAGCAGCAACACCGUGGUGAGGGGGAGAGAAGACAUUUCAGCCUUGGACUUGGGCAAGUUGAAGCCACUCUGAACUUGUUCCCUCUCCUGGAAGAGGAGUGAACUGGGUUAAAUGGUCCCGAGGUCCUUGAAGCGGUAGGGUGAUUCAACAUCCUCCUGUACUCGACAGUUUAAAGAACACUUCCAUGCUUGCUACUUCAUUUGAUGUUCACCGUAACCCCAACAUGGAGCCAGGAGAGGGGUAAUUAUCUCCAUUUUAUAGCGCUGAGAUGAACCGAUCUUGGGCACCUUCAUCUCCAUCCAGGAGCUUUGUUCAAGCCAGGAGCUCACUGCCUGCCUACCUCAAGAUCUGCAGAGAGGGAUGUGAAAGGCCUCCUCCAGCUCGCACUACAAGGUAGUUUGUUCUCCUGGCACACAUAGAAAGGUGUCCCACUGCCCUGCGGUCUUUGGUCCCACAGGGGCAAGAGAACCUAUAAUUUGGGCACAGAAGAGAGUCUCUGGAAAGACGAGGACACACUGGAGUCAGCAGGCACUACAGGAUUAGCACCUGCUGCCCGCCUCUGGCCUUGCAAAAUGCUUACUGCAGUCUCCUGGGGGCUGCUGUUCAUGGCGGAGUCCUUCUAGUACUCAUGAUUCUAGCACUCAAGGACCACAGCAGCCUAGGCUCCCCAAAGCUCCUUAAGUUCCCGAGAGGUGCCACUACUCCAUCCAAUCUCAGGCUUUAGGGUCUGUGUUCCAGUGUUCCAGGAGGCUGGAGUUUCUUUUUGGGCACACAUUCAGGCCCAGGCUGGGACUUAACCACCUUGUGCUCCCUGGCUGGACCUGGGGGAGCCACCUGAUCCAGAGAAGACUCCCUACCGAGAAUUCCAGGCCUAGUUAUGGAGAACCCAAUGCACACAGGUUCUCUACUGGCCUGGGAACCACUCAGAAGGCUCGGCUAACCAACCAGCAAACUCCACAGAUCUACUUGUGUCUACAUCAGAGCUGGGGUUGCAGGCAUGUGCCAUCACUCCUCGCUAUGUGUGUUGUGUGCAUGGGGGGUGGAGGGGCAGUGCUUGCAGAGGCCAGAUGACAAAAACAAAACAACAAUAAAAGGCUUCCCACCCCCUGAAGCUGGAGUUACAGAUGGUGUGCGUUGGGAAGAGAACCCUGGACCCUUGCAGAGGCAGCAGCACCGGGAGAGCUCCCAGCCCCUUACACCUUGCCUUUUUAGAUGUGUUCUGAAGAGCAGGCACAGGUCCUCAGGAAUUUGAAGCAAGAGCUUGUACUGAUUAAGCUCCCUUCACCCAGGACCCUAGAUGAUGCUUUCCAUUACUGGAGAAAUAUGCUGCCCUCAAACUUACCUACAUCCUGGCGUCAUGGGGAGAACCACGGUAAACCCUCAGGCCUCAGUCCGUCAUCAGAGACUCCAGGUUAAGUGGCCUGAGGUUGGCAUGGUCAUCGGGGUCUUUAGAGCUCGAGACGAUUCGAAUGUGCAGUCUGGGCCGAGAACCACCCUCCUUGAAGCCACUGUAACUCAACCCAACCCAGAAACAGAUGUGGAGGGUCCAACCCAAGUUGCUGAGAAGCUGCCAAACCACUGUCUGGGUGCCCAGGGUCUGAAGGCAGUGCCACAUGCUUAGGAGAGCCUUCUGUCAACGUGGUUAAUGUCUUUUAAGCUUUGGCUCUUAGGGGAAUAAAGUUCAGUUAUCUGGAAAACU